rnacentral:rRNA from 1 species
UGCGUAGGCGGACUAAUAAGUCAGUGGUGAAAUCUUUCGGCUCAACCGAGAAACUGUCAUUGAUACUGUUAGUCUUGAGUUCGGUUGAGGUAGGCGGAAUGUGUAAUGUAGCGGUGAAAUGCUUAGAUAUUACACAGAACACCAAUUGCGUAGGCAGCUUACUAGACCGACACUGACGCUGAGGCACGAAAGCGUGGGGAGCGAACAGGAUUAGAUACCCUGGUAGUCC